AUACCCUAUUAUUUUUAGUGUAAAUUUUUUGAAAACUUGAGUAAUAUUAGUUAUGUUCUUGAAACUUAAAGAAUUUGGCGGUAUUAUAGUCUAUUUAGAGGAAUCUGUUACGUAAUCGAUAGUCCACGUUGAACCUUACUUAUAUUAAUUUCUUGUAUAUCGCUGUUUAAUGAAUAUAUUUAGAGAUAAUUUUCGAGAUAAGUUAGUAGUUAAAAUUUCAAGUCAAGGUGCAGUUAUAUAUAAGUUAGGUAAUGGAUUACAAUAAAUUGUAUUUAUAUGGAUAAUUUUUGUUAUAAGAUUUUGAAGGUGGAUUUAAUUGUAAUUUAAAAAAGAUUAUUAAGAUGAUAAUAAGCUCUAUAAUAUGCACACAUCGCCC
rnacentral:rRNA from 1 species